rnacentral:lncRNA from 1 species
AAUCCAUGAUUGAACUGACAGUUGACUUGUGUUGACUUUUAUAGGGUUUCAGUUGACCUGGCUAUGCUCAGAUGAAAUUCAAGCCUCUAUCACUGGGGACUUUGAUUCAAAAUGAUGUCAUAGCUCAUAUGAACUCUUAUGAAUGAUUAUGGUGCCCAAAUUCUCAAGAAUGGCCACCAUCUACUGCUCAAAUGGCUGCCUUUGACUGUCUUGACCUAAGAUUGCUUCAUCUGUAAGUAACAAGGUUAGAUGACAUAUUUUUGUACUUUUGGUAAAUGAACA